rnacentral:rRNA from 1 species
GACGAACGCUGGCGGCGUGCUUAACACAUGCAAGUCGAGCGGUAAGGCCCUUUCGGGGGUACACGAGCGGCGAACGGGUGAGUAACACGUGGGUGACCUGCCCUCAGCUCUGGGAUAAGCCUGGGAAACUGGGUCUAAUACUGGAUAUGACUCCACGGUGCAUGUCGUGGGGUGGAAAGCCUUGUGCGGCUGAGGAUGGGCCCGCGGCCUAUCAGCUUGUUGGUGGGGUGANGGCCUACCAAGGCGACGACGGGUAGCCGGCCUGAGAGGGCGACCGGCCACACUGGGACUGAGACACGGCCCAGACUCCUACGGGAGGCAGC